UGAGGCUUGGAGAGGAGGAGUCACUUGCCAAAGUCCUCACAGUGGACAGAGGUACAGGGGUCCUGUGCCAUCCAGGUCCCCUGCAUCUGUAUGACAUUGCUGUGGCACAUUAUCUGCACAUGGCAGUGUCUCUUUCACUGGUUCAUCAAAGGUGGAGUCAUGGAAUGUCCCCUCCUUGCCAGGAUCUAGGCUGGAUACAGUCCGGGCCCCUGACAGUUCCCAGGCCGAUAGGAGAGGCAAGAUGAGUAAGCAGGAACCUUCUAGCUCACAGAGGUGGGUGCUGGAAUACCCCAACCAGCACCACUGCCAAGACAACCAGCAACCUUCCCUGAGGGCUCACAGUGCACCAGGCUGUCCCAGGGCCUUGCAGAGGGAGGAAAGCAGUGCUACAGAAGCAGAGAAGAGGGACGACCUCACAGAGGCCCACUGGCUGCUCACAACAGGUGCACGUGCAAGACGACUUCACGGAGACGUGGAGCAGGUCAGCAGCCAAAGUCCUCAGCCAGGAGGUAGCUCGGCUGCGUUUUCAACCCAGGUGUUCUGUGUCUGAGACUUUGUUCAUCCCUUCACCUGCUCUGGCCAGGAAGGGCUCCUUAUCGGACAGGGAGCAGGGGAGGGGAAAGGCUUCAAAAAGAGGCAUCCUUAGACGUUCUCAGCUCAGAGGCAGAGGCCCCAAGAAGCUCAGUUAUGAAGCGCCUCGCACCGACCCAGGGCUGUGGAAAGGGCUCCUGCUGCCUCCCCG
rnacentral:lncRNA from 1 species